ACCUGCGCUGGCACUUGGUAUAAAGUUAGCGUCUGUGGCUCUCAGGAGAGCGGCCUAAUUGCCUUUAGUUGUUGUUGUUGUUGUUGCCAGGCCCCAGAACCCAGCUCCAGGAACAACUGGAACGAAGAAGGAACAGUCCACGUGGGGCCCCAGGGCUCAUUUGGAGCCUGACUCGGGCCACUGAGCUCAUGGUUCUGUCGUGGUCCCUUCGAUCCGGGGCCAUGGUGGCAUUUGGGGUCCCUUGUUGCAGGUCUCCAGCUCAGGGCCUGGGGAGCUCUAGGAGUUCUUUCCUCGGUGUGUCAUCACCGGGGUCAAGGGGCACAGGAACCUUCAUAGGGGAGGAGCUACCGAGUAUACUGGACGUUGCAUGGGGCAGGGGCCCUCGUGUGCUCAGGCCCUGACGACCGCCCUCUAGGAACUGGGUGAGGGCGCGCGAUCCCUCACUUGGCAGCUGACACCAGCGUCUGCUUACUUGCUCCUACGUGGGCCGAGAGGGUCCCGUGCUGGCUGCCCCGACCUGGCCCGCAGGUGCACCGCGGCCCGGCAGUCCUGAGCAAGCCCUUCGGAGGGUUGAUGGGAAUUACUUCCACCUUGCCUCCGACAGGCAAAUGCCUCCCCUCCCCACUCCCACCCCCCCCCCCAUGACUAGAGCCCAAGUCUAAACUAAACCCUCCUUCAGCCAGUCUUGGCCUGCACAGGGCCGCCCCUGCGGAGCUGCUCAGCGAUGGUGGGGUCAGUCCCCCCAACUAGUGGGCUCCUUAUCCGGCAAAGAAGGUGCCUACCAUACCUUCACUGGGAUGCGAGUCCUGAUUCAAGGGGGGGGGGAGGCAAAUCAAGUUCUACCUUAUUUCCGACCCCCUAACCCUGACUCAACUCUCUGAAGAUGCGUUUCCAUGCAUGUUCUCCUGGUCCCAAACAAGGCGGACAUAGUGAUCACCGAGCAGAACUGACCUGGGAAUUGUUAGAAAUGCAGAACCUCGGGCUCAUCCCAAGCACUGAAUCCGCAUCUGUUUCUAAUGAGAUCCCAGGUGAUUUGUAUCCGUAUUUAAGGAUGAGAAGCCCUGCUUCAGAACUAUCCAGAAACCCCAGCAGAAAGGGUCUUCCGUUUCUUAGGCCUGAAUAAGCCAACUUUCAACAACCCCAUCGUCACCAACCCCUUUGUCGCUGUGACUGUCCCCGUUAUCACCAUGGAGCAGCAUCCGUAGGGUAGACACUUCAUCAUGAACCAUUUUUAUGACGGUACAUACGGAGCAGACAAUGCCUUGCCCUAGCUGACCCUACUUCCACAGACAUAUUUAUAAGCCUUUUCCAGAAACACAAUUGCAUCUAAAAAUAGAAACCGCCUGGAUUUACCUUCAUCUCAACACAAUGACUCCAUGGCCACUGUGACUGGCCUUGAAUGACGGCCAACCACUUUGAAACACACAGACACUCUAUCAAUGGAGGUGAAGGAAGCCGCUUCCAGGGACUUCCAAGUGAGGAGUGAGAAAGAAGUGCAAGUUGAUAGCCAUGACUGGUACAGAGCCAAGGCCGAGUUUAAGGAAGAGAAAGAACCCAUGCCCUGUCCAGGCAGAGCAAGUAGGCUCAUCCCUGGAGGUGGCUCUUUGUGGUGGCUGCCUGGACGCUGGGUUGAGAAGGAUCUGAAGAAAAGCUGAGCUCAGGGAAGAGAGUUCUCAGACCCAUGAAUGAUGUCAGCCAUGGGUGAGGGGGUGAGGGCACACCGUGUUUUUGCUACCCUUGCACCUAAUCACCACAGUUAUGUUCCUAUAGCCAUGAACCCAGGAACCCAACACAAAGCAGGAAAAUGCAUCUGAGGAAAACUUAGAAAAAGAAAACUUCAGGAAGCUGGCUCAUUUGGGAUAUAAUUAGCAGAUGAGAGAGUGGGAUCCGGAUACCCGGGUUCUGUUCUUUGGCCUAUCACUAAAUAACUAUCAUGGAGGAAAUCAAUAAAUUGGGAUGUCGAUGUUGGGACCAUUUGUUCUGUCUCUGUUGUGGCCUGAGGUCUGAUAAGGAAGGCUGCUAAAGGCUCUUUGGAAGUGGAGGGGGGAAUAUGGAGCAGCCCUGAUGCUCCUGCAGCCACUGGAAGUGGUUCUUAAACAGCCUGGCCCAGUUUUAUCUUGUUUUAAUUAGUGCUGUAAUUGCACAACAUUAACAAAAUAAGGUAAAUUAUA